GACGAACGCUGGCGGCGUGCCUAAUACAUGCAAGUUGAACGCAACAAAGACACCAGAGCUUGCUCUACCGUCUUUGUUGAGUAGCGAACGGGCGAGUAACGCGUGGGUAACCUGCCUUAUAGCGGGGGAUAACUAUUGGAAACGAUAGCUAAUACCGCAUAACAAUAGAGAUUGCAUAAUCUUUAUUUGAAAGUGCCAACUGGUACACUAUGAGAUGGACCCGCGUUGUAUUAGCUAGUUGGUAGUGUAAUGGACUACCAAGGCGAUGAUACAUAGCCGACCUGAGAGGGUGAUCGGCCAC
rnacentral:rRNA from 1 species